ensembl:lncRNA
GCAAAAAGACAACCCUGACCGAGGCAGAGGCGGAGGCGGAGCUUGCCGCCUUGGAGGAGCUUCGGCUGAGCAGAGCGAUGGCUUAUGUCUCCAUCGACCCCAGCAGUGUGGGUGGCUGUUUGAGUCUGGAGGAAGUUCGCUUGAAGCAGCAGCAGGAAAUGAUGGAAGCAAAGAAGAAACAGAAACCGGUGAGUUGUUGAGGCAAACGUGGAACGCUGAGUCAACUCUCCUCGUCUCUGGCAGCUGAACUCAAAGUGAUUUUAAACUGGAUUAUCUUCACUUAUCUAAAGACUAAAUGUCAAUAAAUAAUGUACAAAAGUGGCUCACAGAAAUGUAUACGUUUUGAUAACUGUUGUUCAGUGUGUGUUGUGUAAUAUAUUUUUUAAUAUAAAAUGUAUUUAUUAAUGGUUGUUCAC